rnacentral:lncRNA from 8 species
GACAGAUGACCAGCAGUGUCAAAUAAUAGAGGUUUAUAGAGGGUGCAAUAGUUCAGCACCUCAGGAGUAAAUGCCAGUUGGCUCUUCAUAGCUGAGCGUUUAGAGGUUGAGACAGUAGGUCAGGUAGCGAGAGACAGGAUCAAACAGCGGGUCUGGGACAAGGUAGUACCUCUGGUGAGCCUUGAGCAGGUCAGGGUUCCAUAGCUGCAGACAGAAACAGCAGAGACUGGAUCAGCAGCACGACCAGGUGGACUGGAGACAGGGACAGCCAGGAGUCGUCAGGCCAGGUAGUCCUGAGGCAGGGUCCUAGAUCUCAUGCCAUUCAGUAAUACAUGUCCUUUGAUCUCCUUUUUACUGGACACUGUUGAUAGCCAAUUUUCCCAAGCUAAUCACUGAUUGGCCGACUACAAGGAUGUGGUCAGGUUGAGACUUCUGAGUCAUAAUAACACAGAACACACACAUCAGAUUGCAAGGGCAAGUACAAUACGUGAGUUACUUGAUGUGGAAUAGAGUUCCAUGUAGUCAUGGCUCUAUGUAGUACUGUGCUCCUCCCAUAGUCUGUUCUGUUUAGGUUGGUGUGUAGUCAAGGCUUUGUCAUUAAAAUGAUAUUGUGCCUAUUUUUCAGAUCUGCCCACCUGCUCAGUGGGUGACAGGUCUUUCCACCAAGCUGUUCCAGGCCUGGAGUGGCAUGCUGGAACUUCCAGAGGCUUCUACACCUGAAGCAUUGUGAUGUGGUCCAGAUCUGCCAGCCCCAGCAGUUCAGCUGCAGUCUCAGCAGUCCUCUGCUGUGGUCUUUCAUUUACCGGCUGCACCAGUUCCUACUACACUGGCCGUGAAGGGAGGAACUGUUGAGGAGACCCAGAUGGAUACAGAUCUGCCUGACAGCCUCACCCAGAAGACACUGGGCCUAUCAAGACUGACAAAGCAGAGAUGGGUGGCUGACAAGGAAAAAUAAAACACACACACACAUUAUCCACAAUACGCAGGGCUGCGGGUUUUGGCAGAGAGCUACACACAGAGAGGCCUCAAUAUUCAGCUAUACAUGUGACCAGAAGGAAGUCGGCAGACCUGCAACCCCUGGACUGUGUAGGUUUUGUCAUCUGGAGCUGAAAAAUAGAGAGAUGGGAGGAAGAGUGGAGUUUAAAGGUUUAUCAUUAAUAACAGACACAAUUCUAGAAUUAAUUCAUAUUAGAAUAUAUUACAUAAUGUUUCUGGAACAUGCUUAAUCCUGACAUUGUCAAGGCCAUACAAAUAUUGUAUACCAAACAAUUUAAAAUUUUUAAUUUUACAUGACAUAUCCAUUUAUAUGAUAUCCACAUUUGUGGCUAUUGAUGAUAUCUGUGUUUUCUGUGAAAAAGGUGAGAAUCUGUCCCACUUGUUCUUUAAUGUAAAUUUGUGUCAGAAUUCUGGGAAAACUUUGCAAAAUACUUAUUUACCAUUAUGAACACGACCCAUGUUUUUGACAUGAAAGAUAUAUGUUCCUAUUGCAAUGAUAACAAGACCAUUGAAAUGAUUGUGAAUUUUUUUAUUCUUGUUGCCAAAUAGUUUAUACACAGACAAAAAUUCUAUACCAAAAUUACAAAUUUUUCUGAUUGAAUUUAACUAUCUUAUUAAAACAUUAACCCCAGUGAAUAACAACAAGAAUAACAUUUUCCUGAAUCAUUAUAGAUUUUUUCAGAGUGAUUACAAUUGCACUAGAAUUGUUUAUUUUUUUAUUACUUCAUUGAUAUUGUUUGUAUGUUUUAGUAUUUUCUCGUUAAUACCUGCGUUCUGUUUUAUAUGAUGUGUCGUGUCUUUGGGGUACGAUUAAACUGAAGACAGGUUUAUCAAUUAACUCCCUGUAAUUAUUAUCACGCAAUUAAACUGAUUAAUCGUUU